rnacentral:rRNA from 1 species
GAUGAACGCUGGCGGCGUGCCUAACACAUGCAAGUCGAACGAUGAAACCGCCCUCGGGCGGACAUGAAGUGGCGAACGGGUGAGUAACACGUGACCAACCUGCCCCCCUCUCCGGGACAACCUUGGGAAACCGAGGCUAAUACCGGAUACUCCCUCCCCUGCUCCUGCAGGGGUCGGGAAAGCCCAGGCGGAGGGGGAUGGGGUCGCGACCCAUUAGGUAGUAGGCGGGGUAACGGCCCACCUAGCCCGCGAUGGGUAGCCGGGUUGAGAGACCGACCGGCCACAUUGGGACUGAGAUACGGCCCAGACUCCUACGGGAGGCAGCAGUGGGGAAUUUUGCGCAAUGGGGGAAACCCUGACGCAGCAACGCCGCGUGCGGGACGACGGCCUUCGGGUUGUAAACCGCUUUCAGCAGGGAAGAAAU